UCAUGCCCCUUAUGACCUGGGCUACACACGUACUACAAUGGCCGGUACAACGGGCCGCGAAGCCGCGAGGCGGAGCCAAUCCUUAAAAGCCGGUCUCAGUUCGGAUUGCAGGCUGCAACUCGCCUGCAUGAAGUCGGAAUUGCUAGUAAUCGCGGAUCAGCAUGUUGCGUUUAAUACGUUCCCGGGUCUUGUACACACCGCCCGUCACACCACGAGAGUUUACAACACCCGAAGUCGGUGGGGUAACCCGCAAGGGAGCCAGCCGCCGAAGGUGGGGUAGA
rnacentral:rRNA from 1 species